UACGUAGGUGGCAAGCGUUGUCCGGAUUUACUGGGCGUAAAGAGCGCGCAGGCGGUCGAUUAAGUCGAGUGUGAAAGCCCCCGGCUCAACUGGGGAGGGUCACUUGAUACUGGUCGACUCGAAGGCAGGAGAGGGAAGUGGAAUUCCCGGUGUAGUGGUGAAAUGCGUAGAGAUCCGGAGGAACACCAGAGGCGAAGGCGGCCUACUGGGCUGCACCUGACGCUGAGCCGCGAAAGCCAGGGGAGCGAACGGG
rnacentral:rRNA from 1 species